rnacentral:rRNA from 1 species
CCUACGGGAGGCAGCAGUGAGGAAUAUUGGUCCAUGGGCGCGAGCCUGAACCAGCCAAGCCGCGUGAGGGAAGACGGUGCUAUGGAUUGUAAACCUCUUUUGUCGGGGCACAAAAGACGCCUCGCGUGCCUGUCCGAGAGUACUCGAAGAAAAAGCAUCGGCUACCUCCGUGCCAGCAGCCGCGGUAAUACGGAGGAUGCGAGCGUUAUCCGGAUUUAUUGGGUUUAAAGGGUGCGCAGGCGGAAGAUUAAGUCAGCGGUAAAAUUGAGGGGCUCAACCUCUGCGAGCCGUUGAAACUGGUUGUCUUGAGUGGGCGAGAGGUAUGCGGAAUGCGUGGUGUAGCGGUGAAAUGCAUAGAGAUCACGCAGAACUCCGAUUGCGAAGGCAGCAUACCGGCGCUGAACUGACGCUGAUGCACGAAAGUGUGGGUAUCGAACAGGAUUAGAUACCCGAGUAGUC